rnacentral:piRNA from 1 species
UAUACAGCUUAACUACCGAUC